ensembl:lncRNA
UCUUUGCAGCUCCUCCACAGUUUGAGCCUCUUGGUUGCUUCUCUGAUUCAUCUUCUCCUUGCGGUCAGUUUGGGUGGACGGCCUUCUCUUGGUGGCUUUGUGGUUGUGCCAUAUUCUUUCCAUUUGUUGAUGAUGGAUUUUAUAAGUGUUCAAAGCUUGGAAUGGUUUUUUAGAAGCUAACCCUGCUUCAUACUUGGGUCAGCUCCUUGGUCUUCGUGAUGCUCUUUGUUCAGUAACCCUUUCUAACAGACUCUGAGGCCUUCACAGAUCACGUGCAUUUAUCUUGAGAUUAAAUAGCAGACCGGUGGACCCUAUCUGCUAAUUAUGUGACCAGAUCUUUAUGAGGAGUUUUACAGUAAAGGGGGUAAAUACUUAUGAAUAAACAUAUAUUUGCUGGGUAUGUUGGACAUACAAGGAAUUUGUCAUGGUGGGUGGUGCAUACAUGGCAUUAACAAUGUAGAGUUGAAUUAAUAUAUAUAUAUAUAUACAUAAUAUAAAAAACAGGGAAACUCUAGUAGCAAGUGUUCUUUGUUUAUUCUAAGCCUUAGCUAAACAAAAUGUAAAGUCAUAGUUUUAGUUGUGUUUAUGGAAAAGUAUUGUCCAACAUUCACGUCAUACAUAAAUGUAUUAAUAUCUCGCUGUAGAUGUUACAAUUCAACCGAGGGAAGGAGAAGCUGACAGAUACAGUGAGACGCCAACUAGGACGGUCACCAUGACACUGGGGACGGGGGACAUCACCAUGACACUGGGGACGGAGGACAGUCACCAUGACACUGGGGACGGCAAAGGGGUUUAGGACAGGAUAGUGUAGAGACACUGUGGGACAGCGAGGAGACAGAACGGAGGACCAGCAGGACGGAGUCAGCCAGUGAGUCCAAAUGCUACUUUAACAAUAAUACUGUGGAGUUCAAUGAGUACCUCAUUACCCAGAAUGCUCCUCAACACAAACUCAGCGUGAUGAAAUUCACUUCCUCUCACCAAAGCUUUUGGGUCAAAGGUGGUGAAGGAGGUCAAAGGUCUUGACCUUUGAAGAUGCUGAAGACCUUUGACCUUCUGAAUAUUACUAAACAAAAAAUGAGUUCAAACAUUUAUUAAUGUGUUGCUCAUAAACAUUCACGUGUUCAUGAAACUUCUUAACAAGGCGUAUUAUUUAUAAGUGAAGACAAACAUUUUAAUGGUAAUAAAACAUUAAUCAGAAACACAAUAUUGCACCCAACAAAAAGCCUUCUGACACCGUCAGCGAAUCAAGGGCACCUCCCAGAACGCACUGUGAUACACGUCCAUAUUUAGUGGCUCCUGACAGGAAACUACCAAGACAUUCAGAGUAAAGCUCUGCCAAAAGGGUUAAAACUAACGGAAGCGUUCAAUGAGUGUGAAGUUUUGAGCUUGAUAAAUGAUACAAUCAUGAAAAAUAAGAAGCUGGCAUUUUCUUACUUGCUGUUCUGAAUAUUUCUCUACUGAAUUCUCGGGUUUGUUAUUUGUAUAUGUCAGAUGUAUUCUAAAUAAUAUCAAUAACGUCGCUGACCGGAUCAUGUGACAUAAUCCUGCAUUUACUUCCUGGUUGUAGUCGAGCAACAUGAAAGCAACAAACCCAACAACUCAGGACAGACGUGACAAACGGAAAGGGGCGUGGUCAAAUUGAUGAGGUCAUUCAGUCUGUGAAAAAAAAACGCCGAAUAGAUUUAUUUUUUAGGCACGAAGGCAGAGAAUAAAAAACAGGGUUCUUUGAUUAAAAAGU